rnacentral:misc_RNA from 1 species
UCCGGCUUGCCGCCGGCGGUCCCUCUAGAGUGCCCAACUGAAUGAUGGCAACUAAAGGCGAGGGUUGCGCUCGUUGCGGGACUUAACCCAACAUCUCACGACACGAGCUGACGACAGCCAUGCAGCACCUGUCUCACGGUUCCCGAAGGCACAUCCGCAUCUCUGCAGACUUCCGUGGAUGUCAAGGCCAGGUAAGGUUCUUCGCGUUGCAUCGAAUUA